rnacentral:rRNA from 1 species
UACGUAGGGGGCAAGCGUUGUCCGGAAUCAUUGGGCGUAAAGAGCGUGUAGGCGGCUCGAUAAGUCUGCUGUGAAAGUCCAGGGCUCAACCCUGGAAGGCCGGUGGAAACUGUCGGGCUAGAGUCCGGAAGAGGCGAGUGGAAUUCCCGGUGUAGCGGUGAAAUGCGCAGAUAUCAGGAGGAACACCAACGGCGAAGGCAGCACUCUGGGCCGGUACUGACGCUGAGGAGCGAAAGCGUGGGGAGCAAACAGG